GACGAGGGGUCCAAGCGUUGUUCGGAAUCAUUGGGCGUAAAGCGGGUGUAGGCGGCUCUAUAAGUCAGGCGUGAAAGCCCCGAGCUUAACUUGGGAAGUGCUUUUGAUACUGCAGAGCUUGAAUGUGGGAGAGGGUAGUGGAAUUCCAGGUGUAGUGGUGAAAUACGUAGAUAUCUGGAGGAACACCCGUGGCGAAGGCGGCUCUCUGGGACGGUACUGACGCUGAGACGCGAAAGCGUGGGGAGCGAACAGG
rnacentral:rRNA from 1 species